UACGGAGGCUGCAAGCGUUAUCCGGAAUGAUUGGGCGUAAAGCGUCCGUAGGUGGCGAUUCAAGUCUGCUGUUAAAGCGCAGGGCUUAACCCUGUAAAGGCGGUGGAAACUGGAGAGCUAGAGUGUGGUAGGGGUAGAGGGAAUUCCCGGUGUAGCGGUGAAAUGCGUAGAGAUCGGGAAGAACACCAGUGGCGAAAGCGCUCUACUGGGCCACAACUGACACUGAUGGACGAAAGCUAGGGGAGCGAAUGGG
rnacentral:rRNA from 1 species